rnacentral:lncRNA from 10 species
UAAUCAAACUAAAGAGCUUCUGCACAGCAAAAGAAACUACCAUCAGAGUGAACAGGCAACUUACAAAAUGGGAGAAAAUUUUCACAACCUACUUAUCUGACAAAGGGCUAAUAUCCAGAAUCUACAAUGAACUCAAACAAAUUUACAAGAAAAAAACAAACAACCUCAUCAAAAAGUGGGCAAAGGACAUGAACAGACACCUCUCAAAAGAAGACAUUUAUGCAGCCAAAAAACACAUGAAAAAAUGCUCACCAUCACUGGCCAUCAGAGAAAU